CAUUCCUGGGGAGUUCUCCCUUCCUGAAGACUCAAUUCUAGACCUGACUACAUAAUUAUGGAUUGAGGACAGACUUUUAAGGGGAUUCAGGAGUUGUUUGAGACUUGGACAUUCAGGCAACAAAGUUCUCAAAUCACAUCUAUAUAGUCCGGCCAAGCACAGUGCACAAUAUGCUCCAUAGUAGAUUCAUUUCCCCAUGGAUAGACAGAGUUGGUGUACUUAGUCUCAAAUCCCAUGCUCAUGUCACAUGAGGUUGCUUUUUGCUCAAUUCAUGUGUGUGUGGGGGUGUGUGGGGUAUGGGUAGUGCUUCAUGCAUGUGUGCACUGGCUGGAGGAGAACGUAGAGUUUCUUUCUUGUCAUUCUCUAACUUAAAAAAAUGGUUUCUUACUUCCCCAGAAGUUUGCUGGGGAAACAGAUUCUCUUUUGCUUUGCUGAGCAGCAAGCUUGUAUUCCUCUAUAUCCGUUUGCAUUUCUAUGGAAGUCUGUGCAUGCCUGUGUAUAACCCUCCACUAAGGACACCAUCUUCUAAUGAACAGCACAUGGAAAGAAUGGAGGAAAUGUUGCAGUAUGUGGUGAAACUGACGAUGGCCAUCAAGCAAAAGGAGUUAGCAUAGAAGCUGCAGCAUCACUUUGAGGACCUCCAGGUGAGAGACUAUGUCAGGCCGUUGUUCUCAGAGACACCACUGGAGAAUUGCUGCUCCUGCCUCACAGGCUCUAUUGUGUGUGUUACUUGAGUGCAUGAUGCCUUCUGUGCAGGAGGACUGAGCUAUUCUCAUGCCCUCGUUCAGGUCUAAGAAACUGCAGCAUGAGAUGGAUCUGGCCACAGCCCACGAAGAGAGUGUCCUGCAGAAAGACCUGCUGAGUCAUGAGCCCCCUGCUGAGCCCCAUCCCCAGAAACCACAGGAUCCCUUGGGAUCCAUCCUAAAGAAGCAGAUGACUGACAGUGCAUCCUU
rnacentral:lncRNA from 1 species